CGAAUGACCAGGCCCUGAUGAUGUCACAGUGCACCUUGUCCACAUCCCCACAGCCAAAAUGGCCGGUCUAGUGCAGAACUACUGCUUCCUCCACUACUCCCUCUGCUAGUGCUAGAGCUACUGCUGCUGCUGCUGCUGCUGAUACUACUGCUCCCACUAAGUCUACUACUACUUCGGCCAUAUGGAGGAGCUCGCGGAACUUCAGGGUUAUAAAUCCAUGGAACCGCCUACCCGCCGACGCCGUAAAUGCCAAAAUCUGCAGAAUUGUAAAAAAUCAGCUUGAAAAAAGUAAUCAGAACAAAUUGGGGAACCUUUGACAAGCUGCCGGAUUCCUGUCCUCGUCGAGGCCACUACAAAUACAAAUACAAAAUACAAAUAUUU